rfam:Triticum urartu cultivar G1812 contig149768, whole genome shotgun sequence.
UUUCUACUCCCUCCGUCCGAAAAUAUUUGUCAUCAAAAUGGAUAAAAAGAGAUUUAUCUAACACUAAAAUACGUCUAGAUACAUUUCCUUUUAUCCAUUUUGAUGACAAGUAUUUCCGGAUGGAUGGAGUAUGUC